rnacentral:rRNA from 1 species
AAGCUCGUAGUUGAAUUUCGGGAUCAGUAGGUUGGUCAUGCCUAUGGUAUGCACUGGCUUUACUGGUUCCUCCUUCUUGAUGAUCUGUAAUGUCAUUAAUUUGGUGUUGCAGGGAGUCAGGACUGUUACUUUGAAAAAAUUAGAGUGUUUAAAGCAGGCAUACGCUUGAAUACAUUAGCAUGGAAUAAUGAAAUAGGACGUUCGAACCUAUUUUGUUGGUUUCUAGGAUUGACGUAAUGAUUAAUAGGGAUAGUUGGGGGCAUUAGUAUUCAAUUGUCAGAGGUGAAAUUCUUGGAUUUAUUGAAGACUAACUACUGCGAAAGCAUUUGCCAAGGAUGUUUUCAUUAAUCAAGAACGAAAGUUAGGGGAUCGAAGACGAUCAGACACCGUCGUAGUUUUAACCAUAAACUAUGCCGACUAGGGAUCGGAUGAUGUUAAUUUUUUAAUGACUCAUUCGGCGCCUUACGGGAAACCAAAGUGUUUGGGUUCCGGGGGGAGUAUGGUCGCAAGGCUGAAACUUAAAGGAAUUGACGGAAGGGCACCACCAGGGGUGGAGCCUGCGGCUUAAUUUGACUCAACACGGGGAAA